CGUGCAGGCGGUACGGUAAGUUGGAUGUGAAAGCUCCCGGCUCAACUGGGAGAGGUCGUUCAAUACUGCCGAACUAGAGGAUGGGAGAGGGAGGUGGAAUUCCGGGUGUAGUGGUGAAAUGCGUAGAUAUCCGGAGGAACACCAGUGGCGAAGGCGGCCUCCUGGCCCAUUUCUGACGCUCAGACGCGAAAGCUAGGGUAGCAAACG
rnacentral:rRNA from 1 species